rnacentral:rRNA from 1 species
CCUACGGGAGGCAGCAGUGGGGAAUCUUGCACAAUGGGGGAAACCCUGAUGGAGCGACGCCGCGUGAGUGAAGAAGUAUUUCGGUAUGUAAAGCUCUAUUAGCAGGGAAGAAAAUGACGGUAACUGACUAAGAAGCCCCGGCUAACUACGUGCCAGCAGCCGCGGUCAUACGUAGGGGGCGAGCGUUCUCCGGAUUUACUGGGUGUAAAGGGAGCGUGGACGGUCAGACAAGUCAGAAGUGAAAGCCCAGGGCUCAACCCGGGGACGGCUUUUGAAACUGCGGGGCUGGAGUGCAGGAGAGGUAAGCGGAAUUCCUAGUGUAGCGGUGAAAUGCGUAGAUAUAAGGAGGAACACCAGUGGCGAAGGCGGCUUACUGGACUGUAACUGACGGUGAGGCUCGAAAGCGUGGGGAGCAAACAGGAUUAGAUACCCGGGUAGUC